UGUCUGCCAUGAUGAAAUGCAUUUUUCAGUCCGUGUUUCAGCUGAUUACCCUGAUUGCAUGCAUACUCUGAGCAGACU
rnacentral:snoRNA from 1 species